GAUGAAGAACGUAGCGAAAUGCGAUAAGUAAUGUGAAUUGCAGAAUUCAGUGAAUCAUCGAAUCUUUGAACGCACCUUGCGCCCUUUGGCUAUUCUGAAGGGCAUGCCUGUUUGAGUAUCGUGAACACCUCAACUCUCAUGGUCUGCCAUGAUGAGCUUGGACUUUGGGGGUCUUGCUGGCCUACUGUCAGCUCCUCUCAAAUGAAUCAGCUUACCAGUGUUUGGUGGCACCACAGGUGUGAUAACUAUCUACGCUUGUGGUUUUCUGCCAGGUAACCUCUAGUGAUGGAGGUUCGCUGGAGCUCACAAAUGUCUCUCCUCAGCGAGGACAGCUUUUUGAACGUUUGAUCUCAAAUCAGGUAGGACUACCCGCUGAACUUAAGCAUAUCAAUAAGCGGAGGA
rnacentral:misc_RNA from 1 species